rnacentral:rRNA from 1 species
AUUUGGAUGGCGAGUUUGAUCCUGGCUCAGGAUAAACGCUGGCGGCGUGCCUAACACAUGCAAGUCGCACGACCUGGCGGCAACGCGAGGGAGUGGCGGACGGGUGAGUAA